rnacentral:lncRNA from 1 species
AAAUGGAUUCGGGUUGAUUGAGCUCUCACUACAAUCCGCUCCGAAUGCAAGAAUUAAAGUAUCUAUCGACACGGAUCGCAUCCACCGUACUAUAUUGUACCAGCAAAAUAUCGACACGAUACAGUCCCUCUACCGAUGACAUAAUUCAAAACCCUUUAUUCUUGAAUUAGUAAGGCUUAGUUUAGUAUUGAGAUAGAUCUAACGCUAUUAGAUAAAAUGGAGUUAAGAAAAAGGAAUAUACUUCUGCGUUUUCAAUGGAACCGCAGAAAAUAUAUCGUAACUAACUAACUGCAAUACGCGGAACGCAAUAUUAAUUACGAAAACAAACACGAUAUUUUCGUAUCGUCGUUUCUCACCGCACAUAACGCAAUUUUCCCGCAAUCCCAAACGAAGCCUAAGUAAUUUUCUCAAUAAAGUUCAAAAAAUUUGAUAAAAAUAUAUAAUAAAUAGUUAGGUAAUUCAUUGCUUAAAAAAUAAAUAUUUUAUU